rnacentral:rRNA from 1 species
AUUGAACGCUGGCGGCAUGCCUUACACAUGCAAGUCGAACGGCAGCGGACCUUCGGGUGCCGGCGAGUGGCGAACGGGUGAGUAAAGUAUCGGAACGUACCUUUCAGUGGAGGAUAACGUAGCGAAAGUUACGCUAAUACCGCAUAUUCUCUGAGGAGGAAAGCAGGGGACCUUCGGGCCUUGGGCUGAUGGAGCGGCCGAUAUCAGAUUAGCUAGUUGGUGGGGUAAAGGCCUACCAAGGCGACGAUCUGUAGCGGGUCUGAGAGGAUGAUCGGCCACACUGGGACUGAGACACGGCCCAGACUCCUACGGGAGGCAGCAGUGGGGAAUUUUGGACAAUGGGCGCAAGCCUGAUCCAGCAAUGCCGCGUGCAGGAAGAAGGCCUUCGGGUUGUAAACUGCUUUUGUACGGAACGAAACGGUCCUGGUUAAUACCCGGGGCUAAUGACGGUACCGUAAGAAUAAGCACCGGCUAACUACGUGCCAGCAGCCGCCGUAAAAC